GCCGUCGGCGUUCCUCCUGCCCGCGUCCAAGAUGGUGGCGGGCGGGCGCCGAGCCGUUGCCUCUGUGUGCGGCGGCCUCGCUGGUGGGCGGGGGCGUUUCUCUCCGGUGUUUCUGCCCAUUUCCCGCGUCCUGUCUUCCUUGGUCGAAGCCCAGGGUGUUGUGGAGCAGGGGUGUCGGCAGCCCUCCCCGUGAGGAAAUCCGCUCCCUUCCCCCGCUGCUGGGCCUGGCCUGUCGGUGCAGCACCUUCGGCAGCAAUAGAACUGGAGGAGGGAGAGGUUUUGCCCGCCUGAGGCGAGGUGUGAGGCCUGUGCUGGAGCCAGGGCGUGAUAGUGCGUGCCUGCCGUUGCUGAGGGAAGACAUGUAUGGACUAUGCCUUUGAGGGACACGAGUGGCCAUAAGGCCUUUGUGAAUGCAUGGAGAAGAUAUGCGAUGGGGAGAAGGCAAGUUGUUAAACGUGUGAGGUUGGUGUCUGUCAAGAGGAUGUUGCGCUGGGAAAUGUGUCCAUGGAACUAGUCCUGACAGGAGCUGUGAUACCAGAACUCCCCAAAGACACCUUGAAAGUCUGGAUACGGCUGUUUUGUUGAACUAUGGCCACAGUAUCAAUGAGGUUUAUUUUUAAGAGUGAAAUAGAAAGUUGGAAACACUGGGUCGAAACCUUUCCCAGGAACAGUGGUCACUUCCUGACGACAUGGGAGGAGGAAUCAAGUUAAAUGCUUCUCUGUAAUUACUAAUCUUUCAAAGUUGCAUAGUCUUUUAACUACUGCAUAGAAAAUGGGUAUACACCAAUCAGUGACUUAUGAGCAUGAAUCUCUGUCAACAGUUAUCAGAACCACCCAAACCACAUAUAAAGCCUGAUUACUGCUGUGAGCAGAAGUCCACACUUUGACUUCUGUGGGGGAUAGGUAUGUACAUCAAAGAGCAUGAUCAAACCUAAGAACUGAGAAAGACAAACAGCAAUUAAUGCUGCAUCUUUAUUACAGUAGACCCGGUAUGAUCUUGAUUUUACAUCCGAACUAGGCUUCUGCUGUACAUGCAUUACUCUUCUGGAAAAAGAAGUCAGCUCCUUCCUAUUUCUCGUCUUUCAAAUCCAGUGUUGCACAACCAAGCAUCCAGACGUUGUAAUUCACGCUGUAGAGCAUCCUACCCACUGAAAUUAAUGGGAACUCUAAUGAAACUAAGAUGUAAGGAUGGCAACAUCUACCUUAGAGUAAAAAUGGAAAUGCCAACUAUGCUAUUAAAAAAGGCCAUAAUAUACAUGAGAGAAGAACCAUGAGUCCUACCAUUAUGGUAUCUAUUAAUCUUAAACUUUACAGCAUUAAAAUAUGGGAAGUUUUUAUUUGUUUGAAACACAGACCGACUUUUGAAAAAGAUAUGAGUAGAAAACAAACAGGUCGUAGUACAUAUUCUCCUUUUCAUCUUUGUCCAGAACUCCCACUGUUUUCUGUGCAGGAAAAACCAAUACAAUAUGGUCCAAUGUCUGUAAAUGAUAAAGCAAAAAGCAUUCCAUUAAUUUAUUUCUGAUUUAGUCUGGGUUAUAUUGUUUCAUACGUGUUUGAGACUCUUCAAGUUGCUUGGUUUAUGCAUGCAGCACAUAUAAAUAUUAACACUUGGAUAUUGUAGUAUUGCUUGAGCCUAUUGAACAAUUUUUAAAAAAUAAUUUCUAUACUGAAAAAAAGCUUCUUACAAUUAACUAUGACAAGGUGUAGAAUAUAGUUCUUAUAGAAAUCUAGUUGUGUUGAUAAACAGAAAUUGCAUAAAUACUGAGACACUAAAGUUCAACAGCCAACUUGUUAGAUGAAGAAAUGCCCAGUUCUACUGGAGAACACAUCAGAACGACUUUCAAAUAGGGAGCUGUGCUCUGAUUCCUGCAGCCAUUCUCAGCUUUGUCAGCAUGACGGCUAGAAUAGAGUAAAUUUAACACCAGAAGAGCUCUGGUCAGUCCACCUUCAGCCUUGCCUACCUUCACUGAAAAGGUUUGUACCUAAAGACUGCUACAUUUACUGAGGUGUGGUAGUUUUAAACAUUCCUCCUAAAGCACACCAAAAUGCCAGCUUUCAAUUAUCAUGCAAGUUACCUUUGUGGAUAGUUUAUACUCUUUUUUUUUUUUUUUUUUGUCUGUGCAGGGAACCAGAACUACUAAAAUACAGAUGUGUGGUUUCUGCCACCUUUGAUAUGGAGGCAAAAAUUCCUGGGAGAGUGUCAGUGUGGUUAGUCGGGACCUGUAACCUCUUCAACUGCUGGUACUCAGUAGAGGUGAUCUGCCUGACCGACUCCGAAAGCAAUAAUCCAUUGUUUGAACCACCUUGUCUCUCUCCUGCAGGGAGUUACCUCUUCUGUGGGACACCGAUCAAACCCAGGUGAUGUUGCACUUGAAUAAAUGAGAAAUUUUUGUGAGGUCUAUUUCUCCUGUUCUGCUGGGAUGGCAUGAACUCACAGUGGGAAAUAGAGUUUCUUAGAUCAACAUUGAGAUUGAGGUCAUGAAUAUACCUUGGGUUACUUUCUCUUUGCUUUUACCAAAUGUUAUACAUGAUUACUUGGUAGAAAAUAAACGAAGCAAAGAAAGAAAUGGGGAGAGAUAAGGCCGUUAGGUAAUCCAAUCAACUUUCCUGCUAGUACAGACUUACUUAGCUUGUUUAUUAGUAUGUUUCAAAUUAUUUUUUAAAUAACUAAAAGAAUUCCUCUGAAAAAUUUGCACAAGCUCUGCUCUUCGCUGCCAAUAAGAUUUUCUGACAUUCGGUCUUUCCCCACCCUCUUUUCAUUUACUCCUACUUGUUCCCAUAUGUAGAAGCCCAAGUAUUUCCUCUCCAUCCUUAAGGUUUGCAUUACUUAAGUAUUUGCUGGCUGGAGACAUGUCUCCAUGUACCUCUGCUUUAACAAAACUGGAUGAAUUAAGCUCUUUUAACCCUUCUCUAUAAAACCACUCUUCCAGAUAAUUCUUUCUGCUGCUCCUUAAAUUGCUUCAUUUGCCUCAAUGUUAUGAUGGAUGACACAGAAACAAUGCACAGACCAGCACUGAGUCUGCUAGGGAAAAGUUGUCCUUUUGGAAAAGUUUCAAUAAGCUUGAGCUGCCAAAAUGACUUUGCAUCACAUCAGUGCUCUGCAUCACUUGGCUGUAUUUUUGAGCACCCUAAACCAGGGUUUACUACCCAGUGAAUUUGUGGUGUGUCUUUUACUUGCUGAUACUGGACCUGUGUGCUGAAGGCAACCCUGCAUUGAGCACUAGUGGCUCAGGACUCCCCUGCUGUUUCAUUUUCCGUGCCAGCUUCAAGUCAUUGGAGGGCUUUGUUUCCAACAUUUGUAGCAUUGCAAAACUUUUGCAUGAAGAAAACAGAGGAGAUAUGAUUUAUUGGGAUUUUAAUAUUUCAGGAUUGUCUACAAGAUUUAUUUUCAGCAAACCCUUGUUACUUUUUACUCAAUGAAUAUUUUCAAGAUAAACAGGGGUAAAUUUGGGGGGUUUUAUUAUUUUACUUUGAUUUUCUGUUUGCUUAACCACUCAUCAUCAUAUGCCUUUUGUUAACCCAGUAGGAAAAAAUAUCCUCAAUUUCUGUAAGAAUUUUACAUUUUAGGAAUUAAAUGUAACAAUCCAGAAGUUACUUUCUCAGAGAAAGGGAUGAUGACUUUUUGAUUGGGCUUGUAAUUUAGGAUACACCUUUGCUCAGUGAGAGAGCCUGCUUUCAGCUUUGCCAUGUGGUUUACCAGUUCUCUCUAAUAAAAGCAAGGAUGCAGUAUUUUGCUGGCAAUAGUGCUAUCUGUACUAUCACUACUGUGAGCUGCAGUAUGAACUUUUGCUGUGGAUACAUGCCUGGAAAGAUGCAUGAAAUAAGUACUGGCCUCAUUCAUUUGACCACCACUUCAGGUUUCCCUACUGCUACAUCAGUGUCAUGCAAUUGCCAUAUAAUUGUCCCUCUCUCUCUGUGAUCCUGGCACCAGGCAGAGUGGACUGAUCUGAUCUUGGGUGACCUAAUUAGUUGUGAUCAGCAUACAGGUUUGAUAUAUAAAAAGUGAAACCAUGGAGGAGGCUGGCUAGAAAUGGGUGUUGUGUGGCUGUAGUAUAGUGAUACGAGGUGAAUGACAGACCAGUGUUACUUAACCUAAUGCAUUUGCAGUAUCCUCAUGCCCUGUCCCAUGCAGUAUUGUGCACUGGUUCAUAGAGAACUUGGGGGAUAGGACACAAAGGUCUCAAUCCCACCACAACCACCAGGUUAGCUUUGUGUGUAAGAGUACUGCCAGUGAAGGGAACUGCUCCCGUUCGCCCAUAUGUUGUUUAGAUUCCUUGUUAGUAUGCUCCAGACUUUCCAGAUUCAUUCCCCGAGGGUGCAGCAAUUCAGCCCUAUUUUGCUGUCAGCACAGUAUUACUGACUCCUCCAAUGUUUGGCAACCUGGCAGUUUCUGGUGUAAUGGAUAGAUAUUUUGGUGUGACAGCAAGGUGUGUGAUAUUUAUUCUACCCAUACUCCACAUUGAUUCAGCAAAGCUGGAACUUCCUAACACGGCGCUUCUCUCAACCAUAGUCUGGUAGAAAUCCAAGGCUGCUGACGUGGUAUAAUGUGGUAUGGUAUACCCACAGAAUCAUGCUGGGUAUCUGUGUAUCUGCUCAUUUUGUGGUAAAUCCCAUGUGUUAAAUUUUCUGCUUUUAGAGGAGGCAUCUCAUGCCGAAGCAUCCAUGACUGCUGAAUGAAUCCACUGAUUGAUUAGAAAGACAGAGAAAGGAGGAAGAAAUAGAAAAGGAAUGGGCCUGAACAAAGAAUAGAUGAACCAAUACCUUGUUCUGCCCAAAGAUACACAGAACUGUAUCCUUAUGUUCCUAAAGGUUUUCUGAGUGUUGAAACUUCAUUGAAAACCUGUUCUUUCAGUUAAAUGGGAUUCUACCAAAAAUGGUGAUAAACUCAGCUAUGUGUAUCUUUUCUGAUGACAACAUCCAACUGCAUUGCAAUGAUGUGCCAGUGCCAAAGUGUUUCUGUGUGUGGGUGAAAAGAUGUUAAUUAAUACUCAGACUGGUGAGGUGCAACUGAUUUUCAUGGCAAUUUUAAAAUCAUCAGUAUGCUUGGUCAUUUAUCCAGUUGUCUCCAUGCAGAUUCAGAAGCUCAGCCACAGACACCUCCAUCUGAAAUUCUUGGCCAGAGUUUAUUCAGUCCCAGAUUACCACCAAUGCAUGUGGAACCUAUGUCAUAAGAAGGCAUUUUUUAUGAGGUGCUGUUAAUUUCAGUGCACAAGCUGAACAGAACAAUAGAGGAAGCACGCAAAGGGGGCACACAUCAACCGCUGUGGUUUCUGGUUCAUGCCUGGGCCCCUGAUCCUCAAAGAAGGAGACCAAUGUCAGAGACAUCUGCACAUGGAGAUCAACUUGCAGGAUGAGGCAGGGUGAAAUUCUGGUGGUAGAAUUUGAUUAAUUGCCUUAUGAUUUGAAAACAGUUCCAUCUGUUUCUUCCUGCUUUCUGUGCAUGUGGUGUGUCUUCUCUGUCUUUAAAAUCUCUCUUCUGGAAGAGCUUGAGGAGUUUGAUGAUUAGCUUCUUCUCAUUGCCCUUCAGACAACUCUAGAUAUUUUCUCCAUCUUAACUCAGUUAUAUGCUCUAUGAUAUGAAGUAUGAGUAAGGGGAUGUCUGGAUUUUCCUGUCCUUUCAGGUAGCCUAUGUUAACAUUAGUACUGUAAUUCUGUGUACAGCCUCUCAGAUAUGCACUUCUCUUUUGCUCUUUGGUUUUCUCUUUCAUUUCUAUUUCUGGUUUGGAUUGUAAAUGAUGGCUCUUCACUGUUGUGACUUCCCCUUUGCUGCUGUGGGUUAAGCGUCUCUUUCAGUUCUACAUAUAAAAGAGAAAAAAAAAAGAUGAGACCAAAGGCUCUUAUGGUGCAGCUUUGUAGGUUUAGAAAGAUCUUCCCUGAUAUUUUAUUGCUGUGGACUGACUGACAUCACUUUAGCAUGUCUCCAAGUGCCUAUUAGCUCAUCUCUCACACUGAGAAAUAAAGGCUCCCAAGAAGCACUACAGAGAUAUUUAUCGGUGAGGGUUAGCCCCAGUAUAGACUGUACUAGUAUGAUCAUUCAAGGCUGUAUCCCCUCAGCUUCCAUGUUUGUUCAUGAUCACUUCAUUUUCUUUUAAAAUCUGCUGUGCAGUAUUUUUUUGUGCUAUAAGGCUCUGGGGGAAACAGAGGAGAUGAGGUACAGAGCUCGUAAGUGUUGUCUCCUCUCUUUCGCUCUUCAGAGGAGAUACCAGAUCUGUCAGGGCAGAAAAAAAAAGAGAAGUGGCACCAGCUGAGCAGGACAGGAGUAACACAGCUCCUGCCAGAUGCUUAAAUAACAGCAUGGGGCUGUGCAGUUCUGCAAAUGGGAUAUAGCCAGUACUUUAGGAAUUUGCUGCAGUUCCCAGUGCCAGCUCAUUCUAACUGGGCUAGCAUGUUGUACUGUCCUGUAAAAUUGUAUCUAGUGUCUAUCAAAUCUCAGUCUGCAUAAGUUGAAAUAUGGCUGAGUAUGAGAUAUUGCAGUCUUUUAUUAUACACCAGAGUACAAAAAGAUUCAAAAGAUGAAGUGCUGCCUUGGAUGAGGAGCUGUAGUAGGUUGGAGAGCUAAGGAAGCCUGAGUUGAGGCUCCUGAGUAACUAGUUGAUUUUCUUAAAGAAAUUUGUUUUUAAUAAGAACCUGCUGCCCUCCUUCCAGCUGCUGCUUUCCCAUCAGCAACGCAAGAGCUGUCAGCGUUGCCUGUCCAAACUGAGGUAUAGAUGUCUGGGCACAAAUCAGGAUGGAGGUGGAAUGUUGUUAACAGAGAGAACUAAGAGCCCAGAGAAGACAGAGCAUUUGGGAACUGAUGCCCUCUCUGGAAUAUUAAAAGACCUUCUACAUACCUCAGGGGUUAUGUCUAGAUGGAUGAGUGUGGAGAGUUGCUUGCCUGCUCUUAUACUUUGAGCUACCAGGCUGCAGGCCAGCUCUGAUAUGAAAACUGAAACCACAGCAUUGUGACACGGUGCUUGUAUUUACCAUAACUGUUCUCUCUGCAGGACUUAUCAACACAGCUCUGAGCUUUUGGUAAGUGCAGUUACCUGAUACACAGACCAGUCUGGAUAACAUCCAUCUGGCUCAGACUGUAAGCAGCUGCAUGCACCACCCUGCACGGGCACUUUUGUGAGUUGCAGUAGUCAGCUCCCACACAGCUACUGCAGCAGUCGUACACAGAUACAGUGAGUUGCUAGUCACUGUGCAGUGGAAGCAAACUGUUCCUGUGACAACAACACUCUUAGCAUAUAAUUUCAUGUUUCAUAGUAUAUAAUCCCUUCGGAUUGUUCAAGUAAAAUGUAAAAAUGACAACAUAUUGAAACCAAAUGAAGAAAAAAUUAAAACCAGAGCAGCUCUAAACUGACAUAUUUAAAAUUACUUUGAAAUGAAAUUAAGCUUUUCAAUAACAAAUGGGUUUCUUGUGGCUCCAAGACAAACAGUAGGGAAUGAAAUACAGACUUAUAUGUGCAUAAAUGAUUUAGGUGGUGAAUGGGGAAGAGAUGGUCAUAGAGGGCUGAGCUGAAGAAAGUACAUUUGCAAGUUCCUGAAAAACUCAUGUAGGAGAGAGUUCCACAGAAAAACUGAAUACUGUGACUCAGCUUGAUCCAGAUAAAGUUUUCAUAGGGGAAUAAAAGGCAGAACCUUUGAUCUUGGUUGCCGUGAUAGAAAAUUGAGUAAUAAAUAAUGGUUCUGUUAAUGUCUUAAUCAUAGCUUAUACAUAAUUUUCUCUUACCAACUUUCCUUUUUUUCUAGUUGUACUUUGACACAGCAUGAUUGCAUGAGUGUCUCAAGUAAACUCAAGAGCUCUUCUAGGAGGAGGCCUGACUCCUUGUAGCCCACCAAAGCUGGAUGUGUCAGAAGGGACUGGAUGAAAAGCAGCCAAGGGGACUUUCUGGCUGGGGAUUGUGUAGCUAGCCAUCAGCCUGCUUUCAUGGAAACACUAGUAAGAGAAACAUCCCCAGGGAACCAUGUGGGCAAAGGACACCAGAUGGAUCUAGGGAGUUCAGCUUCUUAAGCGACAUCUGCUGGUAUUGGAAGUAUCCAGAAAGCCACACCACACUUAAAAAUUAAACAAAACAAAAACCAAUCUGCAACAGGAAGAAGAACAACCCAAGAUAAGUUAGUUGCAAAAACCUGCAUUUUAACAUAAAAGCUUCAUGAAAACGUUGCGUAGCAGCAGUCAUGCCAGAUAGAGAUGAUUCAGUAUCAUAAUUGAGUUUGAGCCGAAUGAGAUCUGGUCAUGUCCAGAACUUUCAAGUAUUAAACUCUUGAUCCUGCUCAAAACAUGGUUAUUUACUAUGCCUUCUGGUUUACCUGCACAUUGCUCCUAAAGUAUGGGGAAAUCAAAUCACUUAAAAAUUCUGGUAAGUGAAGCUUUCUUGGAUUCUUGUGUUAGAGUCUUGUGAACUAGUUAAAGGCAGAAAACAGAUACAAAAUGGGUACACUGAUCGAACGGCAGGAAGAGGGAAUACCAAGGCUUUGAAUAGAAAACCUAUAAAUUUAUAAGAAAAUAUAUGAGAAAGCAUAUUUUUGAAACAAACAAACAAAAAAUGUAGUGCUACUCUGACAUUCUGUGAAAUUCUCAAUUUUGUGAUUGAAUUACUACAUUUUGUGAUUGAUAAAUAAGUUGGUGCCAUAGUGACUACCUGUAUAGAAAGCUGUGCAAGUUUCUGGAGCCCAAGUGAAAACUGAGUUAUUUAUAGUUUAACAUUUAAUUUCUUUUUAUGCUCCAUAUCUUUGAAACCAGUGUCAUUUUUAGCUCGUCAAAGUACAGAGGCACCAGUUUUGUUUUUCCAAACCUAUGUAUUUAAGGAAGGGUGUUUAAAUGGUGCUGGCAACCUUGUAUUUCUAAAUGUUAGUGUUCUGGUUUUCAUCUAAAUAAAGAAAGCAGGAUUUGCAGUUGAAAAAUAAGUUUGUAGGCUCAAAAAGUACAAUUGGAAAAAAUAUGUGAAGAGACAAAAAUGCCAGUCAAAAAUAUCUGUGUUAAAAUUGGACCAUAACACCUGCUGCAAUGUUACUGUUACCAGUGCAGUUGCUGUAGAAAGCAGAGUACCAGGGCCAAGUACAGAAGCAAGAGGAAUUAGCUUUAGCUACUCCAGCAAGGCAGAGCCCUGUGAAUCACACUAGGAAGCAUAGAUCAAAUCCUCUUAUGUAAACAUCAUACGGGGCUGGCACUAAUCCUCCUCACGCCCGAGGAGGACUGCUGAUGUGGCAUUCUCCACAUUUGCUUUGCGUAAUUGUGGGCAGUCGUUCUUGGGCACAGGAGGCCUAAGUGUAAGCCUUCAUAUUGUCUGCUCGGGGUGAGCAAAACUAGAUGGGGAAAAGCAAACUCUGGACAUGGCCAUGGUCUGCUAGGGCCACCUCAUACACCUCUUGUCAUCGCUGCUGUCCACAGAGACAGGACAUCCUUCCCCCAGCACACCAAUGUCUCAUGCCUGGGUCCAAGCCCAUGAAGAGCUGGGUGGCCCAUCUCAGUCCCAGGUCCUGCUACAUCUCUGGAGUCAUGUCAUUGUUCUCCUCCUGGGUUUUCCAGCACUUGUCUGCUUCAGUGCAGAAUGCUGAGGACUCAUCUCCUGUUUCUCACCAAUGUUUAACUUGCUGAAUCAGAACUCCAUGAAAUGAUUCAGACCUGGUUUCUGGUGACUAAUACUGGACACUCCCUUCCUCCUAGGCAGUGGUAGCUCCUCCGUGCUCCCAAGCCCUGUUCAGCCAGACAGCUACAGGAUUGGAGACCAGAUGUGUUGCUGUCCCACUGAACAAGUGGUGGCUGGUUUUUGUUUAUACAGCAAUGUGAAUUUUUAGUCUGAACUUAUUUUUUUUCUUUUCAGUCUGUGCAGUUAUAUGAUCAAAAAGUAUAAUCCCUGCACACACAGAUCCUAUAGUUUAUAGAGUUGGUCUUGAAGAAAGUCUCGGUGGGGUACUGUGGAAUUUCUGCUGUUGCUUUUUUCAUUCAUCUGGGAUCAGAUGUGGAAUAAAGUAAAUAUCUUAGGAUGAAGACUUAAUACAGGCAUAGUUUUGUCUAUGUAAAGCUUUCUUCUACCACGUUAUUUUUUCAUUCGCACAAAGAAGUCUAAAACUUAGAGGAGCACUUUGAGUAAGAGCUCUGGCCCAACUUCAUUUUGCCUCUCCUCACCCAUCAAACACAAAAAAGUGUAAUAUAAUACAAACACAGCAAUUUCCCACACAGAGAACCAUACAGCGUCACUGCCAGGUGCUCUCUGCAACUUUUCCCUGUUUUGUUCAACAAGAAUGUGAAAGCAUUAGCAGUUUGAUCACUGUUGUAAUUUCCAUGGUUGCAGGAAGCCCAGCAGUCCUUGCAGGCUCCAGCAUGAGACUGCCUGCUCAAGUCUGGGAGAUACCCCACAUUCUUCAUUCUAGAUUAUCAGUGAGACAGGAAUGUUUGUUCUGCUGUCCAGGUCUAUCCAUCGUGUGCAAUUUGUCUCUUUAGAGUUUACGUGCAGAAGCCACUGACAUCCCCAGGGAGUUAAACCUUCUUAGCUAAUCUUCUAAAAAAGCUUCAGGGACCUUUUGGCCUAGGCUGGAUCUUCUUCCUAUGGGUUUUCUUGGGUAUCUUCAGAUUUUGUCUCUUAAAUUAGAUAAUUUCUCAUCCUCUGAAAUAUCUCUGGUGUAUGCAUGAAUAUGAAAGGUACUCUACAGACCUUGCUGUGGUUUGUGCUCUGUCUUAAUCUGUCAGUGUCAGUGUAACUGGAUGAUGCAGACUCCCGGUCAAAACCAAUAACACAUUCAGCUCUUGACUGCAGGAAAGUUUGCUGCUAUUUGGAAUUACAUUUCUUACAAUUAUUGCAAAGCUUUGGCUCAGUUGUUCAGGAAGCUUUGGCUCAGUUGUUCAGGAAGAUGCUGAGUAGGAUUUUUUUAAUAGUUCCAGUAUGGGAAGUUCAAGAUGAUGUAGCUGUGGUCAGGCCAUUUUCCACCACCCAAUGUAAAACCUCACAGUUAUCCACUGUGACACGAAAAAAAAAAAAACAAAGGCACAUUGUGGUAUGUCACCUGAUACUACACCCAGUUGCAUUGCUCAAAUCCUUGCAAAUUUAAGGUAAAUGGGUUAUAUUAGAGCAAUAGCUUCUAUUCUUUGUCUUCUGUGAAUAUUUCCCUAAUACCUGGGCAAAGUGGGGUAUUUCACACUUCUUUGCCAUGAAAUGCUGUGAAAUGUUUGGAUGUUGUCCUUAGAGUCUGGUAAUGUCAAUCUCUUUUUUUGUUCUUAGAGCUCAACUUUUGAUGCCACAUGAGGCAGCAUCCUGACAAAGAGGAAACCCGAUGGCACAGCUGUAGUUUCAAAUACUCCAACAGGUUUACGAAGGCAAAGUAUUGCACAGUGGCCUAGUUUAGAACUGUCACAGGGAGCAAUUAAUCUUUGUUACUCCAUACUCAUUCUAGAAGCAUUUGAAGCCCAAAGAACUCCCUGGAGCCACAUUUCUUCCUGCCAGCUCUCUGUAGAGGGGCUCAGUUCUGCUCCAGAGCACAUUUACUCGCUUCAGUAGCCCAGAACCCCUCCAGGGUCACUACAUGAAGGCAAUUCCCAGUACAAUAGCAAUAGAAACACCGAUCACACAACAUAAUCCACUGAGUUUUCACACACCCUGAAGCUGAUGGGUGAUGAAUUUCUUUUGGCCUUUGCAUUAGCCGGUCAUUAGUAGCUCCUGGUGUUAUUCAGGCAGUACAUUUCCUUCCCCUUCAGCCUCCUAAGUAUUUUCCAUGGAUCAUAUUUUCACCAAAUCACAACUCUUCAGCUGUUAAUUUCUGCAGAGAGCCUGGACAGCUCUUCACAUGUGUCGCUCCAGUUGUUGGGUGCCGACAUCUCUGUAGCUCCUGCUUUCCUGGAUGCAGCUUCCCUCUAUUUGGGCAACUCCAUCUCCUUUGGCCUUUGUCUCUGUAUCAUCUGUGAAUACCACCUGGCCCAGGUGUCCCUAAGAAACAGAUUCUUUCACCUGACCCAUGGGAUGCCUAUGAAUGCAUUGCAGUUGGGCCUUUUCCAACUAUUUAGUCACUUCACUAGAAAUGUUUCCUUGAAAUGCUGCAUCUGGUCUCAAUGACUCACCCUGAGGCUGGGAAUUCACAGCUGAUACCUUUAAAAAAACACCCUAAAUUUCUGUCUCAGUGUUUAUAGCUCUGUCAGAAGCCUGUUCAUGGCAUUAUCAGUGAUGUUAUUUUCCGCAGCUGACAAAGUAUGAGUUACCUUUCUGCAAACUCUUUACAAAGUAAAUGUUAAUACAAAAGUUUCUAGUCUCCCACUGGGCACACAAUCUGCCUGUAUUACUCAUUCCAAAUUCAAUACACAAAGUUCAGCCUCAUCAAAACUGUCUUCUGACCAGAAGCAAAGGGAAACCCCCAGCAAAAGCUUCCUCAAUGAAAAUAACCACUCCUGUGGAGGUUGCCCUUUUGCUGCUUUUUUGUUUGCUGUUUAAUCGGCAUUUCCAAGGAGCCAAAUUUCUGCUUUUUUCCUUCCUGCAAGAAACAGAAAAGAUUUAUAAGGCUCUGCUUUGCAAGAUGCAUGGCCUACAUAUUAAAAAUUGUGACAAAAGAUUUUGGCCUUGACAUCCAGAAGCACUGUUAAGAUGCUGUCCUGCUUUACUUUUCCCUUCAGAGAGUAUUAGCUUAGUGACUGGAAAGCCCUCCUGCUUCUUUCUAGAAGUGCUUUUUCUGUUUUGUGCCCACUGCCUUAAGUGCAAAGUACACAAUGGCUACCAGGGAAAGGCCCAGCAUGGAGAGCAGCAUUGCCCUCCUUUACUGCUUCUGGCUCAAAGGCAGCAAUUAGGGUAUAAAGCUGGAUAACAUGUUAUUAAUAAAAUACAGCACCAUCACUUGGAGGAAGUGCUGUCUGCCCUAAUAAGUUCAAACUACUUAUUCCCUCAGCUGCCUAGGCACUGGGUGUUGCAACCUAGAGGCAACUGAGUUGCUAGAAAGUUAAUGGUUGAGUUAAAGACCUGCUCAGGUUUUUGCGGAGGAAGGCUUAAGUCAAGUCAAGGCAAUGAUGGGACACUCAGAAGACUCUUCUGAACCUGAAUCUGGCCCUUGAACUGGGAGCUAUCCCUGCAGAGUCUUACUUUUAGGUGACCAGACUUGCUGCUAAUAUACUUUUCUUGGUAAAUGAACGGCAACCAAGGCAAUUUGCCAAACUGUCUUGUCCUCUUUCUUAGAGUGAAAGAAUCACUCACACCUCUGCCAGUUUGUUUACUGUGUGGUCAAAGAUUUGUAGCGUCAUCAAAGGCACUGAUCCAGCUAUUAGGCACUUCUGCAAAUACUAUAUAAAACCAAUAAGCAGCUAAAUGCUAUAUGAUGCUGAAGAAUUUAUAUAUGCCUGUUUCAGUUCUGUAAUGUGUGCCAUUCCUAUGAAUCCAGGCAUGAAGAGCAAAACCACCUGUAUUUUAAAAAUGCUAAAAGAAAUUACUUAAAUACAGCUAUUGGAAGUGGAACAAAGGAUGCCAGCUACAACAGGAAAUCGACUUUUCUGGGUGUUCACAAAGUUGUGCUUUCUGCUUGUCUUACUUUGUUGGUUUUCUGUAUCUCCAUGGUCUCACUACUUUUUGUGCUCGACUGCUGAAUGGUCAUGGGCUUCUUUUGAUUAAACAGACACAGCUGAAGUUUUCAUGCUGCCUGAAUUCUUUAAUUGGAAAAGACUCAAGACAAAUAUGAGAGGCCACCAGAUUCCUUCCUGUCAUCUGUAAGUAAUUUUCAAAGACUACAGAGAAUGUUGUAGACAAGUCAAGUUUUCAGUAAUCUCAGAAGGAGAGAGGGAAUAUCCUAAAGUAAAUACCAAGUAGUAUAUGUUGUCUGUCCUGGGAGGCCAACAUGCCAAUCUAACUGAAAAUAUGCUCUUCAUUAGAAAACUACUUGCAGCUUUAAUCAGCUUUAGCUGAUUUUUUUUCAGAGUAACAUAUUUACCAAGGUGCAGAGCAACCUUGAGUAUAAGGUGACCUCUCACUCUCUGUUUUAGUAGGAAAAAAAUCAAAUAUCAUUGUGUGCUGAAAAUUCCCUUAAUUAUCAUUGCAACACACAACAGACCUACUUCUGACAAGCCAUCCCUAAUGCCUUAUGGAAUUAGGAGAAUUAAUGUGAAACAGGAAGUAUGCUGGUUGUAAGGGCUGGGCUUGUUCUCAGACAAGACAGUCAGUGGUUCCACGUGAAGUCAAGAAAAAAUCAGCAAAUAAAAGUUGUACCUCUUUAAAUCUUGAAGGGUAUUUACAGGAGAAUUUCUGGAGAGGAGUGUACAGAAAUGACAGUAAAGACUUCUUCAGUAAA